rnacentral:lncRNA from 1 species
CAGGCAGCCCGAGGUCACCUCUCGACUUCUCUCCAUGAGAAGUUCCUGGGGACUCUGGCUUGGCCUGAGGCUCAAGGGUGAGACCUCAGGAGGGGCUGGCCCUGCAGGGUCAGGAAGGCAGUGUGGCCGGUGGGAUGUGUUUUGGGGACAGAGGGCAUUUCCUGGCAUCUUGCGCCCCCCCCCCCACCUGUAGCUGUGUGAGCCAGGAUUAGUCAGCUCACCCCUGGGCCUCAGAUUUCUCACUGGUCGAGUGGGUAUGGGAGCCCCCCCACAGGGUCCUACUCGAGUCUCCGAGGCCACCCAGGGCAAAGGUACACACAGGUCUGCGCUCCCCAGGGCUGGGUGGCCUCCCCCUCCCCUGUCCCCUCCCUGUGCAUGGUGGGACCCCAGAAGUGCUAUUCUAGAAGGAGUCUGAGACACGGUGACCAAGUCGGCCCCUGCUGCCCCACACCCUCGGCUGGUGUUCACCGCCUGAUGGAGCCGACUCAGGAACUUCUGUCCCCUGCCCAGACUGGCCUGCUGGCCAUGGCUGAGGUCCUGCAGGCUGGCAGCCCCGGUGAGUGAGGUAGCGUCUGUGCCGGGCCCUGGGGUUGGUGUCCGUGUGUCAAGGGUGCAGACGGAGCCAAGCGGUGCUAGGCAGCAGGAGCCGGGGUGGGAGGCCCUAGGUGACCUGUCCAGCCCCUUCCCCCAGGACGGCAGCCCUGGCCUGUGUGGCAAGACAGGACGCCUGAGCUGGCUCCUGCCCAGUGGGUGGGAGUCCCCAAGGGUGUCGGGAUCCUGUCAGCUCCACCGUCCUGUGGAGCAACAAGAGGUGUGCGCCCUGGGACUCAGGGUGGCUCCCACAGCCAGAGACACCAGGGAAUCGUGGGCAGUUCCAGGGACAAACAGACACAAACAGGCUGCAGCACCGAGACACGGGGCCUGGGGGGAGGGCGGAGGCCUCAGGUCAUCCAGCACUCCUGCAGGAGGCACAAACAGCAGUGACAGUGACGGUGACACAGUCUCUUGCUAGGAGCCAUGCAGGCUCAGAACUUGAGCCACAGGGUCUCACUCAGGCCCGGGGUGGACGGGAGGAGGCCCAGGCAGGGGUGGGAGUGAGGCUGGGAGGAGAGCAGGCAGGGCAAUCCUGCAGCUGAGCCCUGGGCCUCUGCAGAUCCACAGAUGGGGACCCCACGCCCUGCAGAGGGCGGGGCUGACAGGGGCAGGGCCAGCCUGCAGGCCUGCCCCUCUCCACAGGUGUGAAGGUGCAGGGGACACUGACACAUGGGAGGCAGGCCUGAGCACCAGAGGCCUGGCCCCACCUGCAGCCCUGGCAGAGUCAUGACAGGCUGGGGGCCACUGGCCAGCAUCUGCGACCUAUACACGCAGUGCACACACGGGAGGCCCACACUCCCGGGCCCCCCCCAUCACGCUCUCUCCCCUCUGUCAAUUGCAGCCCUGGGGAGACGCCAGCAGCCGCUCAGACAGCUCCCUCUCAGCUCGCCCUGCUGCCAGCUGGCACCACACCAGUUCCGACUGAGGCCAGAGGGAGGGACAGAACGCCAUGUCCACCCCAGCAGGAUGGCCCAUCUGUCCUGAUGGGUCGGCACCUGCCAAGACACCUUCCCCCACUGCUCUGAGAGCAGGGAGGCUGCUUGGGACAUCCCUGGCCACCUGGGGGUGGCAGCUCAUGACACCAAGGGGGUGGGCAGUUCUAAGUACAUGUCCCCAAAGCGUUGUCCAGGCAUUGUCUUACACAAGGCCCAGUGCUGGUCACUGGGGGCAUUGGGGACCCUCCUAACAGGGCCAACCAAGAGCUAUGGAGGGGUAACCUCCCUGCCCCCUGGAAGUGCUGCUGUGAAUGGUUCCCUCGAGAA